AUGAACGCUGGCGGCGUGCCUAAUACAUGCAAGUCGAGCGAACGGACGAGAAGCUUGCUUCUCUGAUGUUAGCGGCGGACGGGUGAGUAACACGUGGAUAACCUACCUAUAAGACUGGGAUAAUUUCGGGAAACCGGAGCUAAUACCGGAUAAUAUUUUGAACCGCAUGGUUCAAAAGUGAAAGACGGUCUUGCUGACACUUAUAGAUGGAUCCGCGCUGCAUUAGCUAGUUGGUAAGGUAACGGCUUACCAAGGCAACGAUGCAUAGCCGACCUGAGAGGGUGAUCGGCCACACUGGAACUGAGACACGGUCCAGACUCCUACGGGAGGCAGCAGUAGGGAAUCUUCCGCAAUGGGCGAAAGCCUGACGGAGCAACGCCGCAUGAGUGAUGAAGGUCUUCGGAUCGUAAAACUCUGUUAUUAGGGAAGAACAUAUGUGUAAGUAACUGUGCACAUCUUGACGGUACCUAAUCAGAAAGCCACGGCUAACUACGUG
rnacentral:rRNA from 1 species